rfam:Schistosoma margrebowiei strain Zambia genome assembly, scaffold: SMRZ_contig0001331
GCACUACUGAGGAGUCCCGCAUUUGGACGAAACGGCCGUCCAGUAC